ensembl:lncRNA
CAGCAAGCGGCACAUAAGCCACAGAAGGGGUGCAGUACGGUGGCCCCCUCUGCGGAGGAGGGGCCAGGAACGGGCGCAGACGGAGCGCUACGCCGGACACAGCGGCACGCAGCAGCAUGGUACAGGAGAAGAAAAAGAUUCCAGUGAGCCAGUAGCGGUGAUCCCGUUAGUGACGGUGCCGUCUGCCCUCACACUGACUCUCCUCUCACUGCCCCUCACGCCAGCCACAAAGGUUUGCAAAGAUCGAACUCAGGACCUUGCAUAUGCCAGGCAGGCACAACGCCGCUGAGCUACAUCCCGGCCUGAGGUACACUUUUAGAUACGUUGGCCGUGCUGAAUUACAGUAACUUUUCUCUCUCUCUUUUUUCCUAUUGUGCAUCUUUUAUGUUGCACUUUAUUGUUUGUUUUUUUGUUUUUGGUACCGGGGAUCAAACUCGGGACCUUGAGCUUGUGUGGAAGGUGCCAGAACCACUGAGCUAAAUCCCCAGCCCUAUUUUGCACUUUAUUUCUACAUCGAGUUUCUCACAGAAGAGAAACCAUUUGAUAUUUAAACUGUGUGUCUGAUUUGCUUCACUUAACAUUAUGGUCUCAAGGUGCGUCCGUUUUGCUACAAAUGACUUGAGUUUAUUCUUAUUGGGCUUAGAUUUUCUUUAAAAUUCUUGUAGAAUUUGGCAGUGAAAUUUUUAGGACCUGGGCUUUUUUUAGUUGAUAGUUUUAAAAAUUAUUUCAAUCUCAUUGACUGAUACAGUAUUAGUCAGGAUUUUUAUAUCUUCCUGGCUCAGGUUUUGUAGUUCAUAUGUACCUAGGAAUGUCCCCAUUUCUUCUGAAUUUUCACUUUUAUUAGGGUAUCGAUUGUCGGAGUAGUUACCAAUGACCUUCUGGGUUUCAGAAGAAUAUGUUGUGAUUUCACUUUUUUCAUUUCUAAUUGCAUGGAUUUGGGUCUUAUUUUGUGAAGAUUGGCUAAGCAUCUGUCUAUUUUGUUUAUUCUUUCAAAGAAUCCAAUUCUGACUCAUUGAUUGUUUUUUUUGGUAUUGUUUUUGUCCUAAUUUUAUUAGUUUCUGCUCUGAUCCUUGUAAUUUCCUUCCUUGUACUGGCUUUGGAUUUGGAUUGUUCUUGUUUUUCUAGGACCUUGAGGUGCAGCACUGGCUAUUUAUUUGAGCUCACUGUCUUCUGACGUGGGGAUUCACUGCUAUAAACUUCCCUCUUAGGACAGCUUUCGUUGUGUCUCAUAGGUUCUGGAAUGUUGUACUGGCAUUAUUGUUUGUUUAUAGGAACUAAUUUCUUCAUUAAUUUCAUCCAAAACCAUUGAUUAUUCAAGAAGGGAUUGUUUAAUAUCCAUGUAUUUGCAUAGUUUAUGUGAUUUCUUUUGCCACUGAUUUCUAGUUCCAUUGCACUGUGAUCUGAUAAUAUGCAUGGGAUAAUUACUUAAGCAUGCUGUAUGGGCUAGUUUAUGACCUAUUUUGGAGAAAGUCCCAUGUGGUGUUGAGAAGAAUGUGCAUUCUGGUGUUCUUGGAUGGAACCCUCUGUAGAUAUCUAUUAAGUCCAUUUGUUUGAAGAUUUGGUUGAACUCUGAUAUUUCCUUGUUGAUUUUUUGUCUAGUUUAUCUCUUUUUUUGUGAUAGUAGGGUACUGGGGUCCCCCAUAACAAUAUAACAAUUGUAUUUGUGUUUAUCUGAUUUUUCAUGUCCAUUGGUGUUUGUUUUAUAAAGUUGGGGGUGCUGGUAUUUGAGAUAUAUAUAUAUAUAUAUAUAUUUUUGGUACCGGGGAUCGAACUCAGGACCUUGCACUUGUGGGGCAGACAUGGAGCCACUGAGCUACAUCCCUGCCCCGCAUAUAUGUUUAUAAUUGUUAUCUCUUCCUGUUGAAUUGCCCCCUUAACCAAUAUAUAGUGACUUUGUCUUUUCUGAUCAGUUUUGGCUUGAAACCCAUUUUGUCUGAAGUUAGGAGAGCCAACUCCUGCUUUUCUCCAGGUUCCCAUUAUAUGUAGCAUUGUUUACCAUUCUUUGAUUUUUAAUCUUGAAUUUCUUUUUGAAUUAAAAUGUGUUUCUUGGAUACUGCAUAUCACUGGGUUUUAUUUCUUUUUCUUUUUUUUCUUUUUUUUUUUUUUUGGUACCGGGGAUUGAACUCGGGUCCCUGUGCUUGUGAGGAAGGCGGUGGAACCACUGAGCUAAAUCCCCGGCCCUAGGUUUUAUUUCCUGAUCAAUUCUCCUGAUCUGUGUCUUUUUAUUGGGGAAUUGAGAGCAUUCACAUUGAGAGUUGUUACUGAAAGUUAUUGAUUAUUCCUGUCAUUCCAUUAUUUACCUGUUGCUGAUUUCCUUAUUUUAUUUUUCUUUUGCUUAGGUGCUCAUUAGGUGUAUUCAUUCUUUCUGAUUUAUUAGCAUCGUUGGAUUCAUUGUCUCUUUUGUUGUCUUUUUUUUUUUUGGUACUGGGAUUGAACUUGGGACCUUAUGCUUUUGAGGCAGGCAGCAGAACCACUGAGCUAAAUCCCCGGCCCUCAUUAUCUCUUUUUAGGAUAUCCUUGAGAAUUUUUUGUAAUGUUGGCUUGGUGAUCAUGGAUUUCUUGAGAUGUCAUGGAAAUACCUUAUUUCUCUGUCAAUUUUGAAGGAAUGUUUUGCAGUAUACAUAAGAUGAGGCUGGAAGUUGUUAUUGUUUAGGGUUUAACGAAGCUUUAAAGAUAUAGGAGGUUGGGAAAAGGGGAAUGCAAGAGGAAAAAUUUGAAAUUUAAACUAUAUGAUAUGAGAAGGAAGAAAGAGUAGUGAUAUAAAGGAUCCUAUUGGGGAGAAAAGGGUUCUUUAUAGAAUUAGGUAAAGAUAAGAGAAAAACUAAUGAGAGAUAGAAGAUAAAAGAAACAGAUGGAAGCCAAGUAUGUUAGUACAUGCCCAUUAUCCCAGGACUUGGGAGGCUGGGGAGGGAGGAUUGCUCUGAGUUCAAGGCAAGCCUGGGCUACAUAGUGAGUUCAAGGCCUUUCUGAACUACAUACCGAGAUUCUGUCUCAAAAACAAAACAAGGGCCGGGGAUUUAGCUCAGUGGUUUUGCCACCUGCUGCGCAAGCGCAAGGACUUGAGUUCGAUCCCUGGUACAAACCCCCCCCCCAAAGCAAAAUCAAAACCAAAAAAGAAAACACCCCCAAAAAAGAAAGAAAUUAUAUCAGAAAGAGAGAAGAAAACUUAAAGGAUGAAAGAUUAAAAGGGAGAAGAGGAAAAAAAUAAAGAAAAAAUAAAAAAGACUUAAGAAACAAGGAAAAAGGAUAAAGGAAAAUCCCUCAAAUCUCAAUAAGCUGGAAGAAAGGAGGAAAAGAAAGAAGAAACAACAACAACAACAACAAAAGGUGCCCCCACUCACACAAAGAAAAAGAAAUAGAUAAGAAGGAAAUUUCUUUAUGAUUUUGAAUGUGUGUUUUUUUUUAUCAAGAUCUACAAUUUUGGAGCAGUGAUCAGGUCAAGAUGUGAUCUAACUGCUCACUCUGGUAGAUGAAGAAGGCAGUCAGACCCCAGAUCCAUGCUGGAUGCAGGCGCUGGCAGGCAGUGGGAUUAGGGUGAAGGUGCCAUGCCUGACUCUCAAAUCCAGAGCAACUCAGGCUGAGCCUGGCCUCUGGCCUUGGUGGUGGGCCCUGUGUUCUUUAACUCAGACCUCUCAAGGGGUCGCUUUCCAGCCUGUACCCUGACUGAGGCUGGCCACCUCUCACCCAGUCACUGUGGGAAUGUAACCCUGGGAGCCCUGAAGUGAAGCUGUCUGGUGACUGCUCUGAGUCCUCGUUCAAACAAUCAUCCCUUCCCUGGAAUGGCGUCUGACCAAACACUCCAGGGAUAUGGCAAGGACUUGGACUGGCAUCACCACUAGCUGUUCCCUGUUGAAGGACUCUGCUCUCCCUGUAGCUCACAGCACCUACCAGGCUGUCCAAUGGCCUCUUUUCUCCCUGAAGCCCUCUGGAGUACCCAGCUUUUACUUUAUCUCUGUAGACUCGGUCUCCCUUUCCUGUGAGCCAUGAGCCAGGAACUGAAGAGAAAGUGCAAACUGCCCCUUCCUUUCCUGAGUUGUGUUCUGUUUUUUAAAUUUCUCUGUAGGUUUAAAUUUUCCUGUCAGAUCCUCCUUGGUUCCAGGGAUCUACUUCUCUCUUUGUUUCUUCUUCCCUGUGUUGUUAUUUUCCACUAUCUGGAUUCCAAAUCUCAGACAGACUGAGUUGUUGCCGUUUACCACUCCACUAUUUUCUUCCUUAAUCUAAAAAGUGUUUUUGACUGGGUCUUGCUAAGUCACUCACUUAGGGUCCUCCUGCCUCAGCCUCCUAGAAUGCUGCAAUUACAGGCCUGUGUUACCAUGCCUGGCUUCUGCCAAUGGAAUGUGAAUGGAGGAGCUGGGUGGAACUUUUACAUCAUGACUCGUCCCCUACUUCCUCCCUCACACCAAUUCUUGGAACUGAAAUGCAGACUUGGCGGAGGCCCUGUUUGGGCCAUGCGCACAGGACGCGCACAAGAGGAAGGAACCUGGGUCUUGGGUGAGGCUGCCGUCUGGGCGCCUCCCCACCAGCCUUGUCGCCUUAGGCCAGGCUCCCCCGUGAGAGAGAAGGAUGUUUCUGCCCUGUGUCUUGGGAUCUCUUUAUCCCAGCCCCCUGAGCAUAAGCAGCCGGGUCCCGUAGCCCUGUGGGGCUGGGGACAGGGUUGCUUCAGUUUUGCUGCUCUGUUGUCUUCGAUGUGUGACCCCAUCUUUCCUGGGGUCUCCCACAGGAAAGCUGCGCGUGGCUGCUCUGACUCCACUGCACUGUCCUCACCUCAGCAGUGGGGAUGGAAAGGGAAACAGAGGAGUGCUCGCCUCUCCUUGAGCGCCUGCCCAGGAAAUGUGCCAGUUUUAUUACUUUAGGAAGAAGGAAAUGGAUUCCGCCCCACUCUGGCAAGUGGACUUAGCAGAUAUUGGGGGAAACUCAUAAAUAAAGAGCUUUUUUUUAACCCCAGGUCUAGGUAUUGAACCCAAGACCUCACUCAGCUACAUCCCUAUCCCCCUCUUUGUUUUGGUACGGGGGAUCAAACGAACUCACCUUGUGCUUGUGAGGCAGGCGUUGGAACCACCGAGCUAAAUCCCUGGCCCAUCCCUACCCCUUUCUACUUGAUUUUGAGAUAGCUUCUCAAUAAACUCUCUAGGCUUGUAGUCCUCUUGCCUCAGCCUCCCAUGUACCUGGUACUGAAUUACAGGUGUGUACCCCUGGGCCUACCGCUCUCUUUCUUUCCUUUCUUUCUUUUUGCUCUCUUGCUUUCUUUCUUCCCCCUCUUAUUAUUAGCACCUAUUAUUUUUACAAAGCAUUGGGUUUCACUUUGUAUAUUUUGAUCCUAUCCACCCCCAUUACCCUCUGUUAUGCCCCUCCCCCUCCCCCUUAUUCCCUUCCUCUUGUUAAUAAUAGUCUUCCUUCUGCUUUCAUUUCAUCUUUUUAAGAUUCCACAUAUGGGGAAAACAAAUCAUUUGUGUCUUUCUGAGGCUGGCUUAUUUCAGACAACACAAUGAUCUUCAGUUCUAUCCAUUUUCCUACAAAUAACAAAAUUUUGUUCUUCUUUACAGCUAAAUAAUACUCCACCAUAUAUAUAUAUAAAAUCUCCCUUUUGGUGCUGUCUCUCCAUUCUCUUGGUUGUUUCCUUUGCUGUGUAGAAACUUUUUAAUUUAACGUAGUAACCGCUUGUUGAUUCUGUUACUUCCUGUGUACCAGCGUGCUGCUCAGGAAGUCUGUGCCUGUGUCUGCAGCUGUAGGUGUUUCCCUCAUGUUUUCUUCCAGCAGUGUCAAAAUUUCAGGUCUUAGGGCCGGGGAUUUAGCUCAGUGGUUUCAUCGCCUGCUGCGCAAGCCCAAGGACCAGAGUUCAAUCCCCAGUACCAAAACAAAAAACAAACAAACAAACAAAAUUUCAGGUCUUAUACCGAGGUCUUUGAUGCAUUUUGAAUCGAUUUUUUUGUUUGGUUGGUUAUUUUUUUUUGUACUGGGCAUUGAACUUGGGACCUUGCGCUUGCGAGGCAGGCGCUGGAACCACUGAGCUAAAUCCCCGGCUGUUUGUCUUUCUGAGACAAGGUCUCUCUCUGUAGUUCAGGCUGGCCUCAAACUCACUGUAACCCAGGAUGGCUUUGAACUUAUGGUGAUUUUCCUGCCUCAGCCUCCCAGGUUCUGGGAUUACAGGGAUGCACCACUGCACCUGGCUUAAUGUUGAUUUUAUGUUCUGUGACUCUUUAAAAACAGCUGCUAGAUAUGAGCUUGGUGGCUUAACUCAAAAACUAAGUGGCCUAAGUAUUUGGUCAGGUUAGGCUUCAUCAUGCCCUAGUAACAGAUGAUCCCCAAAUGUCUGUUGUCAUGGGGACUUGUAAAAUACGGGCACAGAUCUAUUCUGGUGUGUAUGCCCCAUGCAGUGUGACUUUGCCACCCCUCCCAUCAAGUGGUAAAAUCUAUGUGGGUGCAGGGGCACACACCUGUAAUCCCAGCUCCUCAGGAGGCUGAGGCAGGAGGAAUGCAAGUUCAGGCCAGCCUGGGCAAUUUAUCAAGCUCCUGCCUCAAAAUAUGAGACAGAGACAGAGACAGAGAGAGAGAGAAAGAGAGAGAGGGAGGGAGGGAGAAAGAGAGAGGGGGGAGGAGGUGAGAGAGAGAGAGAGAGAGAGAGAGAGAGAGAAGAGAAGAGAGAGGGGAGAGAGAAACCAGCUUAGAGUUUUUUUCUAGCUGCAUUUCAUAGAAGUACCAGUUAACAUCCCAAAUUCCAAAACACUUUUACUCCAUGGAGUAAUCAACCCCAGAUUUAUUUUGUAAGUUGGGGAUUUACCUACUGGACUUUCCAUUAAAAUGUUCUAAACAUCUUUCUCAUCUUCAUAACUAAGUGCUGAUUUUAUUUUUAUCCCUAGAUUCUCUCCAGGAUAGAAUUUCAGGGAAGAAAAGGAUUGUGAAUCUUCUUUUUGAUCAAGAAAUUCUGAGAAACUGGUCUCAAUUCCCUGGAAGCUUAUAGGAAAUAAAACCCACUUGGCAAAACCCAAAAGAGAACGAAAAUGUCACUUUAAUGAAAUGUUUUGCAACAUCCUGGGUGGUUUGUGUGCUUUAGAGUUCAUGCAAGAGCGA